AAACUGAAGAGUUUGAUUCUGGCUCAGAUUGAACGCUAACGGCGUGCUUAACACAUGCAAGUCGAGCGGCAGCAUGAUCUGUAGCAAUACAGGUUGAUGGCGAGCGGCGGACGGGUGAGUAAUGCAUAGGAAUCUGCCUUGUAGUGGGGGAUAACCCGGGGAAACUCGGGCUAAUACCGCAUAAUCUCUACGGAGCAAAGUGGGGGAUCGUAAGACCUCACGCUAAAAGAUGAGCCUAUGUUGGAUUAGCUAGUUGGUGAGGUAAUGGCUCACCAAGGCGACGAUCCAUAGCUGGUCUGAGAGGAUGAUCAGCCACACUGGG
rnacentral:ncRNA from 1 species